rnacentral:lncRNA from 1 species
UCUCCGGCAAUGGGCUCUGGCGGCUAGGGCUUAGGUUUGGGUGCGGAUGAGGUUAUUUAUACCCAUCCGCUUUUAAUUUGAACCGUCCAUCGCUUUUAAUCUGAAUCGUUCGAUCGCGAUUAAAUAGAGAAUGAAUCUGGACCGUUCAUCGUAAUUCAAUGUAGGCCAUCCGUGUACGAUUCAAUCUGUACCGUCCGUGCGCGAUGCUCUGGACCGUCUGUGUGCGUUUUUGAUCUGGACCGUUCAUGCGCGCGGGAACGGAUCUUAGCCGUUCGAUCGCGUGCACUCAGAUCACCUACGUAGCUCCCUCCCGCGUGGCCUCCUGCGUUAGCCUCUCUGCCCCUGGCACGUCUUGGUUGGCCAGGACUGCUGACUGGGCAGCUGACGUGGCACAACUUUUCUAAAUUAUAUUUUGACCCACCGGUUUUCGAUUUUUCUUUCAAAAAUACCUCCAGAACCCAAAUUUUCACCUAUUUUUUCCAAAAUUGUUUUUAAUUAAAUUCCUAAAUAAUUUUUACCCAUUAUUAUUAUUAUUAUUUCUAUUA